AAACUUUUACAGGAUUUUCUCAUAAUAACCUCAUUAAACAGCAUCCAUCCUUGAAACUUAUAUUGGUCCUGUUGAAAUUUUGUUGUUGAAAUUUUGUUGCUUUCAGUUACUGCAGUAACUUUUUUAGCAUAAUAAGUUAGCUUAGUUUUAGGAUAAAUCUACUUUUUUGAAUUCAAAUUUCAGUUAGAUUUUUUAGGUUUAUUGAGAGACUUUUUCAAUCAAUACUUUUAAUCAUUUUGCUGUCCCAUCUUUUAAAAAACCAACAGUGGUAUCAAGAGCUUCAUUGGUCUUACGGGAUCUGUGAGUUCUUCCAAAGAACUAUUUUCAAAUCAUUUUUAACCAAUAUCAAUUUUUAAACUCAUUUUCAAACAUGGCAAGCAGCAGUCUCUCUUUGAAUGCCCCACAAACUUUCACUGGUGAAAACUAUCAGAUUUGCUCAAUGAAAAUAAAAGCAUAUCUUAAAACCUAUGAUUUUUUGAAUGUUGUAAUGGAAGAACAAUCCUUACGAGCAAUCCAUGAAAAUCCUAUCAUUGUCCGGAAUCAAAUACUUUCAAAAGAGAUUUCAGAUAAGAUAAGGUCACUACGGGUGUUUUUUAUGCACAAAACCAUAAGACGGAAAAGAAAGAAGAAAAGAAGAAAAAGAACUGCACUACAAAAGUGUGCAAUUUCAGCGAUGCCCAAAACAAUCCUCAAGGACAAACAACAGAAGCAAGAAUUGAGGAGGAACAACUUUUUAAAUAGCAGCAACUGAAGCAAAAGAUAAGUGUUGAAAUUUUUGUUGCUUUCAGUUACUGCAGUAACUUUUUUAGCAUAAUAAGUUAGCUUAGUUUUAGGAUAAAUCUACUUUUUUAAUUCAAAUUUCAGUUAGAUUUUUUAGGUUUAUUGAGAGACUUUUUCAAUCAAUACUUUUAAUCUUUUUGCUGCCCCAUCUUUUAAAAAACCAAUAGGUCCCUGAGUUCAUUCUCUUCUCUGAAUUUCCUCAACUCCCUAGCCAUCUUUUUCUUUUCUUUUUUUUGGUGGGGGGUUGUUUAAACAACACACAACACAAUUAGGCUAAAUUAGAAAGGCUGUCUUAAGUACAAGUAUUUUUAACAUAAUCUCGUAGAAGAGAACCUGGGGCCUAACAAAUGUAUUCCAACCUUAUAGUUAAAUGUCCUUCCCUAGAAUCUAAGUCACUUUAGCAAGUAAUGGAAG
rnacentral:lncRNA from 1 species